ACCAAGAGGUUGAUAUCAGACCGUUUGUCCACUGUGUCCCCUAGAGGUCUGAACCAAGAGGUUGAUAUCAGACCGUUUGUCCACUGUGUCCCCUAGAGGUCUGAACCAAGAGGUUGAUAUCAGACCGUUUGUCCACUGUGUCCCCUAGAGGUCUGAACCAAGAGGUUGAUAUCAGACCGUUUGUCCACUGUGUCCCCUAGAGGUCUGAACCAAGAGGUUGAUAUCAGACCGUUUGUCCACUGUGUCCCCUAGAGGUCUGAACCAAGAGGUUGAUAUCAGACCGUUUGUCCACUGUGUCCCCUAGAGGUCUGAACCAAGAGGUUGAUAUCAGACCGUUUGUCCACUGUGUCCCCUAGAGGUCUGAACCAAGAGGUUGAUAUCAGACCGUUUGUCCACUGUGUCCCCUAGAGGUCUGAACCAAGAGGUUGAUAUCAGACCGUUUGUCCACUGUGUCCCCUAGAGGUCUGAACCAAGAGGUUGAUAUCAGACCGUUUGUCCACUGUGUCCCCUAGAGGUCUGAACCAAGAGGUUGAUAUCAGACCGUUUGUCCACUGUGUCCCCUAGAGGUCUGAACCAAGAGGUUGAUAUCAGACCGUUUGUCCACUGUGUCCCCUAGAGGUCUGAACCAAGAGGUUGAUAUCAGACCGUUUGUCCACUGUGUCCCCUAGAGGUCUGAACCAAGAGGUUGAUAUCAGACCGUUUGUCCACUGUGUCCCCUAGAGGUCUGAACCAAGAGGUUGAUAUCAGACCGUUUGUCCACUGUGUCCCCUAGAGGUCUGAACCAAGAGGUUGAUAUCAGACCGUUUGUCCACUGUGUCCCCUAGAGGUCUGAACCAAGAGGUUGAUAUCAGACCGUUUGUCCACUGUGUCCCCUAGA